rnacentral:rRNA from 1 species
UGGCUUUAACACAUGCAAGUCGAACGAGACCUUCGGGUCUAGUUGGCGCACGGGUGCGUAACGCGUGGGAACCUGCCUUUUAGGUUCGGAAUAACAGUGAGAAAUUACUGCUAAUACCGGAUGAUGUCUUCGGACCAAAGAUUUUAUCGCCUUUAGAUGGGCCCGCGUUGGAUUAGCUAGUUGGUGGGUAAAGGCCUACCAAGGCGACGAUCCAUAGCUGGUCUGAGAGGAUGAUCAGCCACACUGGGACUGAGACACGGCCCAGACUCCUACGGGAGGCAGCAGUGGGGAAUAUUGGACAAUGGGCGAAAGCCUGAUCCAGCAAUGCCGCGUGAGUGAUGAAGGCCUUAGGGUUGUAAAGCUCUUUUACCCGAGAUGAUAAUGACAGUAUCGGGAGAAUAAGCUCCGGCUAACUCCGUG